GCAGUCGACGCUUCUUUUUCACCGGAGCUUGCUCCCCGGAAAAAGAAGAGUGGCGAACGGGUGAGUAACACGUGGGUAACCUGCCCAUCAGAAGGGGAUAACACUUGGAAACAGGUGCUAAUACCGUAUAACAAUCAAAACCGCAUGGUUUUGAUUUGAAAGGCGCUUUCGGGUGUCGCUGAUGGAUGGACCCGCGGUGCAUUAGCUAGUUGGUGAGGUAACGGCUCACCAAGGCCACGAUGCAUAGCCGACCUGAGAGGGUGAUCGGCCACAUUGGGACUGAGACACGGCCCAAACUCCUACGGGAGGCAGCAGUAGGGAAUCUUCGGCAAUGGACGAAAGUCUGACCGAGCAACGCCGCGUGAGUGAAGAAGGUUUUCGGAUCGUAAAACUCUGUUGUUAGAGAAGAACAAGGAUGAGAGUAACUGUUCAUCCCUUGACGGUAUCUAACCAGAAAGCCACGGCUAACUACGUGCCAGCAGCCGCGGUAAUACGUAGGUGGCAAGCGUUGUCCGGAUUUAUUGGGCGUAAAGCGAGCGCAGGCGGUUUCUUAAGUCUGAUGUGAAAGCCCCCGGCUCAACCGGGGAGGGUCAUUGGAAACUGGGAGACUUGAGUGCAGAAGAGGAGAGUGGAAUUCCAUGUGUAGCGGUGAAAUGGUAGAUAUAUGGAGGAACACCAGUGGCGAAGGCGGCUCUCUGGUCUGUACUGA
rnacentral:rRNA from 1 species